rnacentral:rRNA from 1 species
CCUACGGGUGGCUGCAGUGGGGAAUAUUGGACAAUGGGCGAAAGCCUGAUCCAGCCAUGCCGCGUGUGUGAAGAAGGCCUUCGGGUUGUAAAGCACUUUCAGUGGGGAAGAAAGCCUUGGGGCUAAUACCCUCGAGGAAGGACAUCACCCACAGAAGAAGCACCGGCUAACUCCGUGCCAGCAGCCGCGGUAAUACGGAGGGUGCGAGCGUUAAUCGGAAUUACUGGGCGUAAAGCGCGCGUAGGCGGUCUAUAAGCCGGUUGUGAAAGCCCCGGGCUCAACCUGGGAACGGCCUCCGGAACUGUCAGGCUAGAGUGCAGGAGAGGGAGGUAGAAUUCCCGGUGGAGGGGGGAAAUGCGGAGAGAUCGGGAGGAAUACCAGUGGCGAAGGCGGCCUUCUGGACUGACACUGACGCUGAGGUGCGAAAGCGUGGGUAGCAAACAGGAUUAGAUACCCCGGUAGUC